AUGAGAGUGCUCGUGACCCGCAGAUGCCCAAUUCCCGGCCCAUUGAAAAACCAGAUGCCCAAUUCCAGAGCCCUAGCCCAUCCGACAGCCACCAUUUUCGCCCAUCUCCAAACUUCACCUCGCCGCCGCCGGACACACCCGCCGCCAUGGGUGAGCUCCUCCCCCUCUCCCGCGAUCUCGCCGGUUAGCACUCUCGCGCGGACUCUUACUCCCUCGUUCCCGACGAACUCGUGCUUCGCAGGCGCCUACAGGUUCGUGUCGGAGCUAUGGAAGAGGAAGCAGCCGGACCUGACGAGGCUCGUGCAGCGGCCGGCGACCGUGCGCCGUCUCGGCUCCGAUGCCAAGCAGCUUCACAAGCCUAUUGAGGAGACCAAUGAAGGUAUAUACCCAAGUAGGAUGCACUCCCAGAACCUGCCUGCCAAGAUACGCAUAGCGAUGAAAUCUUUCAAUAACCAAAAUCACAAUCUGAAGGGGCUUGAGCCUUACACGCACAAGAUUGGGUUGCCUGAAUCACGAGCCUUAUACACCGUGUUACGAUCACCUCAUAUUGAUAAGAAAUCCAGGGAGCAAUUCUCAACGCACGUGAAGAAAUUAUUUGUGGUUAAAAAGGCAGAGACACAUGAGCUGGCCAGGAAGUUCUUUUGGUUAAAACGACUUCGUGUAUUGGGGGCUCAGUAUGAAGUCAAUAUUAGUUUCAAGACCCGCUUGGAUAAAAUGAUUGGCUGCAGCGAAGGUGGUGGCCUGCUUAGACAGUAG
rnacentral:rRNA from 1 species